rnacentral:rRNA from 1 species
CGUCAAGUCAGCAUGGCCUUUAUGUCUGGGGCUACACACGUGCUACAAUGGCCGGUACAGACCGUUGCAAGCCCGCGAGGGCAAGCUAAUCGGACAAAGCCGGUCUCAGUUCGGAUUGCAGGCUGCAACUCGCCUGCAUGAAGUUGGAAUCGCUAGUAAUCGCGGAUCAGCAUGCCGCGGUGAAUACGUUCCCGGGCCUU